AACGAACGCUGGCGGCAUGCCUAACACAUGCAAGUCGAACGAGACCUUCGGGUCUAGUGGCGCACGGGUGCGUAACGCGUGGGAACCUGCCCUUAGGUUCGGAAUAACUCCCCGACAGGGGUGCUAAUACCGGAUAAUGUCUUCGGACCAAAGAUUUAUCGCGUUUGGAUGGACCCGCGUUGGAUUAGCUAGUUGGUAGGGUAAAAGCCUGCCAAGGCGACGAUCCAUAGCUUGUCUGAGAGGAUGAUCAGCCACACUGGGACUGAGACACGGCCCAGACUCCUACGGGAGGCAGCAGUGGGGAAUAUUGGACAAUGGGCGAAAGCCUGAUCCAGCAAGGCCGCGUGAGUGAUGAAGGCCGUAGGGUUGUAAAGCUCUUUUACCCGGGAUGAUAAUGACAGUACCGGGAGAAUAAGCUCCGGCUAACUCCGUG
rnacentral:rRNA from 1 species